GUCUUCGUGGUGUAGUGGUCAGCCCACUCGACGCGUAACCGAGAGGACUGGGUUCGAUUCCCGGCGAAGGCG
rnacentral:tRNA from 1 species